rnacentral:lncRNA from 1 species
UAUCUCUAUCUAUAAUAAUAUUCAAGAUAAUAACCAAAAACAGCAAAAUUUCCUUAAAAUUACUAAUUCAGGGGCAGCAACCCAACAACAGGUUGUCCGAUUCAUCUGAAAAUUUCAGGGCAGAUAGAUCUUGACCUGUUAAACAAGUUUACCCCAUGUCAGAUUUGCUCUAAAUGCUUUGGUUUUUGAGUUAUAAGCCAAAAACUGCAUUUUACCCCUAUGUUCUAUUUUUAGCCAUGGCGGCCAUCUUGGAUGGUUGGCCGGGUCACCGGACACAUUUUUUAAACUAGAUACCCCAAUGAUGAUUUUGGCCAAGUUUGGUGUAAUUUGGCCCAGUAGUUUCAGAGGAGAAGAUUUUUGUAAAAGUUAACGACGCCGGACGACGCCGGACGACGGACGCCAAGUGAUGGGAAAAGCUCACUUGGCCCUUUGGGCCAG